AUGGAGAACACUGUUAGCAGAUUUGGACUACUCCUGGAUAUGGGGCAGUUCUCAGUCCAUGAACAAGAAGAGUCCUCAGCAGGGCUGGAAGCAGAGGGCUACAGGGAGAUCUGUGGGCAGAUUAAUCACCCAAGCUCUCAGGUCAACGUGAUGGAGCUGAUCUUGUUAGCGUCUUCCUCAGCAUCAGAAGAAAAAUCUGAAAAUCAUCAGAUGAGGAGGAGACUGAAACAAAGUCUCCAUGAAGAUGGAUGGCUUUUCCUGAUCCUGAGAAGAAAAAAAAGAUUAAAAAAAAAAAAAAAGGAAAAAAGCAAAAAAAACAACAAUCUGGUGAGUGCAAAAAGCAAAAAGCACUUGACAGAAACAAGUGGUUCUAUAAGCUCUGUGUCACCCCAGGGCCGUUGCUGACAUCUGCGAAUUCAGCCAUCUGAUUCUGAAGCCUUUUAUGCAGGGAGGUAACUAAG
rnacentral:lncRNA from 1 species